AAGAGUGGGGAUGCCCAAGCAAAUCCCAAGCAAAAGGGGAGGGAGAUGUAAGAGACACAGUGAAACAGAAGCUUUCGCCAAAUCACAUACAACAUGCAUCCAGCUCCAUCGCUGCAGCUGCCACAUUUACAGGGAGGUUUUAUCUUUAGAGCCAGUGCUUACUAUUAGAGUAUAUGAAUCCAGGCAGGUUAGUUUUACACCUGAAGGGAUACUUACUGAAGCUGUUUUAGGUCUUAAUAGCUGACUUUAUCCAGCUCUGUAGUAAAGAGAGAUCUCUAUGGGGACUAUUGUGAAGAAGUAUAUUGAUGCAAGGCAAAAAGUGUAUUCCUUAUUAAUUAUCUGGAUGGCUGCUGAUUAGGUAGAUUCUAUAGGGACUUUGGUAUAACUUUUUUUUUGGUUGAAUCUGGACCUCGAAAACCCAAGUCUGAAACCUGGAUCCCAGUAUUGGAUAAUACCAUGGCAUUGCCUGGAUUUUGUUGCAGGAGAUGCUUGAGAUACUCUGAACACAUGCUGUGUCUUUUGCUGACACAGUGAAGCCGAGCUAAUUCUCUGUUUUUGCAUGGACAAUGAGUUGGAGAAUUCUGGCUCUGCUCAACCAACAGAAAUAUGAGGAACCCAUUGCCAUCUGAGUAUUUUGGGCUGCUAUCCACACCUUGAUGCUGUGUACGGUAAGACAAGAAAGUGGUGCCUUGGAAGUCCUGACCAAAAUGGUCAUCAUUGGUGGUGUUGAAGGUGACAAAGAAAGUCAAGAAAAGGAGAGCAAAGAAGAAAGUAUUCUAGCAAUGCUUGGGAUCAUUGGGACAAUUCUGAAUUUGAUUGUAAUCAUUUUUGUCUACAUUUAUACAACAUUAUAAGUCGGGUAUCAGGAGGGUCCCUCGCUAGAUGUGGCAGUGAGCACGUAGGGUGGCGGCCCUGCAAUGAACUGAGCCCAAGAUUAAUUAAGGCGCACUGGAUAAUGUUCUUGGAAUACUAAUAUGACUUUAACAUAUUAUUAUAAUGAUUUGUCAUGGACAGCUUGGUUUAUAAAAAGAAAAAUUUGAUGACAAUGCUAUGUUUUACUAUUCCUUUUACUAAAAAAACAUAAUGCAUUUUGCCAUUAUGGGCUAAAAUUAAGGGUGUUUCUUUCCUAUUUUUUUAAGGUCCUAUUUUUUAUUCUAUUUGUUUUGAAUUUGCAUUUUAAAAGAUCUGUAGUAUUAUAUAUUUAGCAUGAGCAAAAUCUUUGAGAUCAAUUUUUAAAUACGAGAUCUUUCUGGAAUCCAUAAUGAUGGAUGAUACAAUGACUAGAAUGUUUUUACAGUACAAAUAACUCAUAUACAACAUUUUUUUUAUGUUAUUAUGUGAACUUUCUCACUCCUAAGGAAUGUCUGGGAUACUUAUAUUUAGUUGCAGGCAACAUCAUCAAAGGUUCCAUCAGUAAGACAUGCCAAUAACCAGAAUCAGGACAGAACCCAGCAGUACAAUAAAACUGAAAAAAACCCAA